rnacentral:rRNA from 1 species
UUGUUGGUGAGGUAAUGGCUCACCAAGGCGACGAUCAGUAGCGGGUCUGAGAGGAUGAUCCGUCACACUGGAACUGAGACACGGUCCAGACUCCUACGGGAGGCAGCAGUGGGGAAUUUUGGACAAUGGGGGCAACCCUGAUCCAGCCAUUCCGCGUGAGUGAAGAAGGCCUUCGGGUUGUAAAGCUCUUUCAGCCGGAACGAAACGGUAUUCCUUAAUACGGGAUGCUAAUGACGGUACCGGCAGAAGAAGCACCGGCUAACUACGUGCCAGCAGCCGCGGUAAUACGUAGGGUGCGAGCGUUAAUCGGAAUUACUGGGCGUAAAGCGUGCGCAGGCGGAUUGUUAAGCAAGAUGUGAAAUCCCCGGGCUUAACCUGGGAAUGGCAUUUUGAACUGGCAGUCUAGAGUGUGUCAGAGGGGGGUGGAAUUCCACGUGUAGCAGUGAAAUGCGUAGAUAUGUGGAGGAACACCAAUGGCGAAGGCAGCCCCCUGGGAUAACACUGACGCUCAUGUACGAAAGCGUGGGUAGCAAACAGGAUUAGAUACCCUGGUAGUCCACGCCCUAAACGAUGUCAACUGGUUGUUGGGGGAGUGAAAUCCCUUAGUAACGAAGCUAACGCGUGAAGUUGACCGCCUGGGGAGUACGGUCGCAAGAUUAAAACUCAAAGGAAUUGACGGGGACCCGCACAAGCGGUGGAUGAUGUGGAUUAAUUCGAUGCAACGCGAAAAACCUUACCUACCCUUGACAUGUCCAGAAUCCUGCAGAGAUGCGGGAGUGCCCGAAAGGGAAUUGGAACACAGGUGCUGCAUGGCUGUCGUCAGCUCGUGUCGUGAGAUGUUGGGUUAAGUCCCGCAACGAGCGCAACCCUUAUCAUUAGUUGCUACGCAAGGGCACUCUAAUGAAACUGCCGG